CGACCCGUCUCGGGUAAAAUCGUAAUCCUUACAUAUUUUAAAACAAAAAACAAAGUCCUCUGACGCGAUGAACUCAAAAGUAUUGCACGGAUUUUCAUGUGUUUUUCAAUAGAUCGUGUGGUUCCAGUGGUCGAUUUAGGUGUACAAUUUAUUAUGUUUUACCCAAACGAAGCCGGGACGGCCCACUAGUAAAUUAUAAGUACGUCUAAACAUUCCUCAGGAAUCAUAACAUCUACCCGCAUCAAAAUCCGUUGCGUAGUUUUAAAUAUAAGCAAGGAUUCAUAAGGACAGACAACGGGAAGCAACUUUGUUUUUAUACUCUGUAGUGAUAGUGAUAUAUAGUGAGAUAGAUGAUACAUUGGAAGUAACUAUCGUCGUCUCUCUCUCUCUCUUAUCUGAGCGUUUUCCCGGUCUCUUCCUCAGCCGUUGAUCGUCGAAUCCCAGAUUCCGCUGAUUAACUAUCUCCGUAACGUAACGAAACCCACCAAUCCGAAGCGCAUUGGGCCUGCAUAGUAGGUCAUUGAUGGCCCAAUCUCUUUAUGCAUCCAUAUAAUACACACAGAGACAUUUUAAAGUUACUAGAAAAAAUAUACAUAAUCCUGACUUUUACAUAAUUAUCACAAAUACAUUCAACAGCACAUCAAUUUCACAGUAAAAACGCCGUUAUUGCCGCGGCUUACAGGUCACUUAACGUGCAGCUGACCAACCUACGACGUUUUAAAUUUACAUGUACAGUUAAACGUAGGUCAGUCGUCAGUUCAUUACAAACACGUGUUUCAUGACACAAACGUGACAAGACAGCAUCACACAAUGAUAGACAUUUAUGCGUUUACCAUAUGAGUGGGUUUAGCAUAAUACUAUGUUUUACAUCUAUUUUUGCUUCUACUCUAAGAAAAUCUCUUCUUCGUGAUAAAUUUAAAACCGAAGUUUUUAUUUUGUAUCAAGUCACAUCAAAUACUAUAUUCAAAUGUAUAAAUAAAUCACUUGGCGAUGCUAGGUCGGCUUGUGACCAGCGACUGAUGCAGAGUCCUGGAGCUACCAUCAACUUUUGAUAUAAAAUAUUCAAAUGCAGCGCGAUUGUUCAAUUUAGGAACAAAUGAUCGCAUUAUUAUUAAAAACUAACUUGAUGGUACGAAUUUGCGAUGCAGAUCAGUUUAGGUCCUAAACUGGAUCACAUUAAGAGAUGGUAAGCCCCAAAGGGCGUCGAAUUAUUUUUAAAUACUAAUGCGAUUAAUUACAGUAUGACCCAGCAGGAUGAGCUCAAGGUUGACAGGUUUACGACACGCUACGUGGCCAAAAACAUGAGAAGCCGCAGCAUAUCGGGGAAGAGAGAGAUUGAUCCAAAUGCGCAGCUCCUGCAGAAUAGACACAUUGGUAGAAUGGAAUGUAUUCAACAGGCUUGAUGUCGUUAAGAAUCAUAUAUACACAACGAUGAGGAAUAGAAGAUACAAUAAGAAAAGUAUUUGGGAGUUGAUGACAAAAGUACGGCAAACGUACCCGAAACCCAAAUCGAUCACUAUAAAUUAUGUUCCGAAAUAUACGUUUACGGCUUUACAAAUAAAAAGGUUACGACAUGAA